rnacentral:misc_RNA from 1 species
GAUGAAGAACGCAGCGAAAUGCGAUAAGUAGUGUGAAUUGCAGAAUUCAGUGAAUCAUCGAAUCUUUGAACGCACAUUGCGCCCCUCGGUAUUCCGUGGGGCACGCCUGUUCGAGCGUCAUUUACACCCUCAAGCGCAGCUUGGUGUUGGGCGUCUGUCCCGCUCUCCGUAGCGCGGACUCGCCUCAAAGUCAUUGGCGGCGGUCGUGCCGGCUCCUCGCGCAGCACAUUUGCGCUUCUCGGAGGCCCGGCGGAUCGGCAUCCAGCAAGCUACUUUUUAUGACUUGACCUCGGAUCAGGUGAGGAUACCCGCUGAACUUAAGCAUAUCAAUAAGCGAGGA